GAUGAACGCUGGCGGUGUGCCUAACACAUGCAAGUCGAGCGAACGGACGAGAAGCGCGCUCUCUUGAUGUUAGCGGCGGACGGGUGAGUAACACGUGCAUAAGCUACUUCUAAUACUGGGAUAAUAUCGGGAAACCGGUGCCAAUACUGGCGCAUAUUUUGAACCGCAUGGAUCAAAAGUGAAUGACGGUCUUGCCGACACAUAUAGAUGGAUCCGGGUUGCAUUAGCUAGUUGGUAAGGUAACGGCAUACCAAGGCAACGAUGCAUAGCUGACCUGAGAGGAUGAUCAGCCACACUGGAACUGAGACACGGUCCAGACUCCUACGGGAGGCAGCAGUGGGGAAUCUUCCACAAUGGGCGAAAGCCUGACCGAGCAACACCGCGUGGGUGAUGAAGGUCUUCGGGUUGUAAAGCUCUGUUAUUGGGAAAGAACAGAUGUAUGUGUAUCUGUGGCCGUCUUGACGGUACCUAAUCAAUAAGCCCCGGCUAACUUCGUG
rnacentral:rRNA from 1 species